CUAAACUUAAUAGACAAUUAUGACAGAUUAUUUGUCAAAAAUUGACAGUGUAGUGGCGCUGCUUAUUAGUAGACGGAAUAUUUUCGAACUAUAGUGACUUGUUAAUAAGUUUUACACGACCAUAUUGAAUAGAAGAUUUUAUUUAAGGAGAAAAGUUUAAAAAAAUUUAAUUUCAAUAUUUACUCAGAUUGUUGUACCGACGGUUGUAGUAUGAAGACUUGGUCCUUUGCUAUGAUUCAAAGCUGAACAUUCAGAGUUUCCAAUGGAAAAUCAGAGUUAAAAAGCAUGUCGAACAUAAAGAUGAUGUUCAUUGUUUUCUUUAAUUGUGAGGGCUUAGUGUGAUCAGAAAUUGUUCCAAGGUAAACUUCGAAUUUGAUAAGGGAGCAAUGAAUUAUUUGGAAAAAUGCCUUAAGAAAAAUGAGGAAAUGACUUUUCUCUUUCUCUAUGACAAAAAUUGUGCUACAAGUCGGUUUUGAUUUGCAAUUUUUUAAUUAUUUAAAGUCUUAUUACCAGGUUAAGGGAUAUUUUUGAAAAUAGAAAAAUGUCUUGAAAGAGUAACAUUACUUAUUGUGGUUGUUUUUGCAUCAAUGAGAUCAUGAAUAUAUGGAAAUUACAAACGAAUUUACUCGUAAGCAAGAGAAAAAAUUCUAUUUUGUAAAAGUGAUAAAAAUGAUUGUCAAAUACAAUGAGUAGGAACUGUAGAAUGCUUCUGCACCCACCACAUUCUCCAGAUCUUGUCCUCAGCUGCCAGGUUGGGAGCUUCAACUACAAAGGAUCCAACCUUCCCCAACGUUUAGUAGAACUUCCAUCACUUUGUAAACAACUGAUUGUAAUUUUUCUGUUGGAAGUCAAGUUGUCAAAGUUUUCCAUUUGAUUCUUUUUAAUCUGCCAUAAUUCACUAAAGGAAAUGUGUAAUUUUGAAGUUUCAAGUCUUCCCUGAAGUUUAUUAGGACUUUCAUCACAUUGUUAACAGCUGAUUGUAAUUAUUCUGUGAAAAUCAAGUUCCGAAAGUUAUUCACAUAAUUUUUUUUCGAAUUUGUCAAUGUAAUAAACCUAUUGGCCACAAUUUACAAAAUAAAAUGUAUAAUUUUGGGGUAGGCCUUCCCCCAGAUUUAGUAGGGCUUUUAUUACUUUGUGAAUAGCUGAUUGCAAUUAUUCUUUUAGAAUAAAGUAAAUAUAUAUUUGAUUAAAAUAUGUAAAACUAAAUAAAAAAACUAGUAAACUUAUAAUAUUUAUAAAAUAAAAAAGUAAAUUACAACUUCCGUUAUAUAUAAAAAUUACUUUAAGGGAUUCGAUACCAAUGAUAUUAAAUUACUUGGUCCCAAUGGACAAAUUAACAUCUUCACUGUACUUUUUAAGAAUACCAUUUUCGCAAUACAACCCUGGGUGCAAAUAUAAUCUUUUGAAUCCUAUAUUAACAAUUUCUGAUGUCUGCAUUGUACAUUUUUCUGAUAUCCUCAAUCUGAAACCUUCGUCUACCAUUAACAUUAUAUCGUUUAUAGAGUGGUUGUGAGCAUAGUUCAUAAUGUUCUUACAUAAUAGCUCUAUGUACCAGGUACCUCUAUUGUAAUCUCUGUGGGAUUGGUAUCCUGAAAUUUAUAAAAAAUGGUAAGUAUCUCGCCUUUUUUUAAAAUUUUUGUUGAAAAAAUUGGUAUGAUGGAUUUAAACACGAUUCAAAAUAUUGGACUGAAAAUUAUAUUUCUGGACUUUAUAGGACAAAAUCUUCAUCCACUGUGAGGGAGCUACUAGGAAAGAUACAUGUCAGUUUAGUAGGGUAGUUCCAACAACUCACCAUACAAUUUUUGCAAGUAAAACGUUAGAUAAGCAGAAAAAGUGUAACAUCGAAAUGUAACAGAUGAAUAUAGACUUUUAGGAAAGUCUAAAACCUCACAAUUUAGUGUUUCCUUAAGUUAAUUAUGCCUAAUCGGUUUAUUAAUGUAAGAAGUAAGGGGAAAAACUUUCAAAACUUGAUUCUCAUAGAAAAAUUACAAUCAGCUGUUUACAAAGUGAUAAAAGUCCUUCUAAACCACGGGAGAUCUAAAACUUCAUAAUUACACAUUCUCUUUUGUGAAUUGUGGUCAAUAGGUUUAUUGCACUUGAUAGAUUAAAAAAAAUCUGGUGGAAAUCUUUCACAACUCUAUUAUUGCAGAAAAAUUGGAAUCGGCUGGUUACAAAGUGAUGGAAGUCCAACUAAACCUGGGGGAAAGACCUCAAAAUUACACGUUUUCUUUCAUGAAUUAUGGCCAAUAGAUUUAUUACAAGGACAGUGUGAAAAAAAGUGGAAAACUUUCCAAAUUUAAAUUUAGUAGAAAAAUUAUAAUUAAUUGUUUACAAAUUGAUAUAAGUGUAACUAAACCUAGAAGAAGACACCUCCAAAGAAAUGGAAAAGUUAUCGAACCUAAAAACAGUGAGAAUUAAGAGCGUUUUAGUACUUUGUACAACUAAUUGUUACAUUUGCCAAGCAACAAUUAAGUUUUUCUUCACAAAUUAGUUCCACAAUUACCUAAAAUCCAUUUACCAUCAUGUUUUGAUUAAAUUUUAUAUAUAAAACCCUACCAUGCUAUAAGUAAUAAAUUUUUUUCAAAAACUGAUAUAUUUAGCUAAAAUUUGCGAUUUUAUUUUUCUAUUACCAAUCAAUCUUAAGUCAUACAAAAAUUUAAAAAAGUUGCUUUAGCUUCAAAGAGUCAGUUUUCUUAUCAAUAUCUUAACUAAAUAUGAUUAUACCUAGUAAUGUAGAAAAUCCAAUCAACAUGUCUUCAUCCGAUCUUAAAUUUAUUAGAGGUGGUAUACUUGUAACUUGUGAAUGAUUCAAAGCACCAUCAAUUUCUGUUAUUUGUUUGUGUUUUAUGGGUAUAUGUCGUUCAGCACCCCUAAAAAUGUCAUAUUUACAUUAACAAAAAAAAAUUUGGAAAAAAAGAUUUAGACCAAAAAGACAAAACAAUAAUAAAUAAUGAGAAAAUUAGAUAUAGACAAAAAAAGCAGAAAUAGACACAUAAAGACAGCUGAUAUAAUGAUAAAGUAAGGUGAAAUUUGGGCUGUAAUUUCAAAAGUUGUCCCCCUCUUAAGCAAAGAUUUCGAGUUUUUCUCAAUAAAAUAUACCUACAAAUACAUUUGGGAUCGGUCAAUUUUCUGUAUAAAUGUAAAGGAUGAAAAUGAAAUUAUUUACCUGCAAACUGAAAAUAACAAAAUUUUCGGUUUUCCCCUCCAGUAUAAGCAGUUUUCAUUAGAAAACCAUUUCCGCAUACUAGAUUCGGAAAUAUAAUUGUCUUGUAUAUUAGCAUCAAUUCCAUAAAUAACUGUAUCAUUACAUCUCUCUCCACCAUGACUCAUAAUUAUAAUGAAGCAAAUGUCAUACAAAUAGUUAUUUUUAUAAUUUGCAAAAUUUUUAAUAAUCAUAUUCAUUUGCUAAAACAUAUUUCAAAACCUAAUUAUUAUCAAAUAAAUAAAAAAAAAAUAAUUUCAAGCUAAAAUGUUAGUUUUGUCCUUAUAACCUUCUAUAUAGUAGAUACCCGGUUUGAAGGACCAGAUAAUGUAAUUUUUUGUUACUGUAGUGGUUAUUUCCAUAAAAUCCAACUUAUUUGAAAAUAUAAUUUAAUACUUA